CUGUAACUCCAGUCCUAGUAAAUCCAACAUCCUGUUCUGGUCACAUGGGCAGCAUGUAUCCAUACACUGCCCAGACAUACAUACAGACAGGAUACCCAUAUACCUAAAUCUAUUUUUUAGCAUAGAAAGGGUGGGACCUUAAACUCAGAGCCUCCUGUCAUAAUGAUACAGUAGUCAAGACUUAAAUAUCACCCAUCAUUUUCUACUCCCCCAUGAUAUAAAUUUAGGAAUAUUUGGGGAGAGAAAAAUUCAUCUCAUAAAAAUUCAUUCAACAUCACAGUAGUGGUACUAAGGACUUUAACCUGGUGGUAAAGUACUUCACCAGUGUUUUUUCUUUAAUUUUUUCUUUUAAAAAUUAUUUAUUUAUUAUUGUAUGUGUAUAUGAUAUAAAUAAAAGUUUAUAUAAUGGGUUUGAUGCCCCUCUCCUCUCAAAACAUUAUAGUAGUGUGUAUAUGAUUGCAUAAAAUACUAUGAGCAAUUAAAUUUUUGGUUUAGGAGGUUGAGGUAUUGGCAUUGAAUUAAAAAAGAAAGGUUCUGGAAAAAUGCCUCAGCAAAUGAAAGAAUAUGCUGUGUAAGUCUGACAACCUGAGUUUGAGCCCAAAUCCUGUGAGUACAUAUGCCUUCACACAUAUUUAAGAAACUAAAGAAAAAACAUCUCCAGGAAGAAAUUGAUAC
rnacentral:lncRNA from 1 species